CAGCCUCCCGAGUAGCUGGGACUACAGGCUCCUGCCACCACGCCCAGCUAAUUUUUUUGUGUUUUUAGUAGAGACAGGAUUUCACCGCGUUCGCCCGGAUGGUCUCGAUCUCCUGACCUCGUGAUCCGCCCACCUCAGCCUCCUAAAGUGCUGAGAUUACAGGAGUGAGCCACUGCGCCCGGCUGCAAUAUUUCAUUUAGAAUUUUAGCAUCUGUAUUCAAGAGAGAGUUACCCAGAACUUCCAAUAUAAUGAAUAGAAGUGAUGAUAGAGAAAAACUGUCAACAAUAAAUACACUGUGUGCAUCUAUCCACAAGAUCUCUGAAGAGAUCAGGUGUCCAAGCUUUGGCCCAGCAAACACAUUCUAGAAACUUCUUGCCAGAGAAGCAGCCAUUCUCAGCUCAGAAUGUUUUGUGGCAAUUCUCAUAAAACAAAACCUAACUCACCUAUUCUCAGUAUUCGACCAGCAGAACACCUCACUUACCUGUGCACAUGAUCUAAUGCAACGAAGAGUCCCUAACAGGUUACACCUGGUGAGUAUGCAGACGUAGAGAUCUUCUUUGUCUUAAAACAGGUUUUAGCUGUGGCACGGACAUUUUGGACCCAAUCAAUCUUUGUGGUGGGGGCUGUCCUGUACAUCACAGCAUAUUUACCAGCAUCCCUACUUUCCACUCCCCAGAGCCUGCACCACCCCCUCCUCAAGCUGUGAUGACCAAAACUGUCUCCUGACAUUGCUCUAAUGUCUCCAUGGGGAGCAAAAUCACUCCCUAUGGGAACCAGUGUCAUAAACCAUUUUAGAGGCAAACUACAAACUAACUCCCCAAACUGUGAUGGUGGAAAUAGUCUAUAACUUCCUAAUACAGCAGCUGAUCACUACAUGACACUGCUAAGCACCUGAAAUGUGGCUAAGUAUGAGGAGAAUUCUUAAUUUAAUUUCAUUUUAAUUAAGUCCUACAUAUACUAUAAGGACAAGAUGCUUCAUCAUGGAAAGCUGUGUAGAUAUCUGAUACCUCUGUUAAAAAUCAUGUGGUUGAUAGGCAAUAAAAACUUACAGAAAGGGUUUCACCAUGUUGUCCAGGCUGGUCUCAAACUAUCCACCCACCUCCAUCUCCAAAAGAGCUGGGAUUACAGUUGUGAGUCACUGCACCAGGCAUAAAUGUUUUAUUAGUCCUAUUUCUAUCCAUUUAAUUUUCAUUCUGACUAGGUAUUUGUUAAAUUAAGAGGUGAACUGUGAAGUUAAAGAUUACAAUGAUAGAAAUUUAAAUUCUCUUUUAAAU
rnacentral:lncRNA from 10 species